CUGCUCGGUCUCCUGGCGCCCAGGCGAGGGCGGAGACGCGACCAUACGUUCUAGAGUGCAAGCCCAGGGUUCCACCAAGCCCAGGCAGCGCGCACUUUGAGCAAGAUCUUGUAAAGUUUCCGCGCGGCUCCGCCAGGGUGGAGCGGGACGCUGGCUCUUACCGUAGACUCCUUGUCCCCGACAGUGGAAGGGGAUCAGCGCCAGAAGUAGAAGGCAGGUCACCUCCAUCUUCACGGCCAGUGCUUCAUCCCCACGAGGCGGCGCAGCCUGAGAGGCGGCGGGGGGCGCAUCCGCCGGGGCACCGCGAUGCCCUCUGCGUUCCCUCCUUUUCCCUGAGACGCGAAGGAGAGGGCGGCGACCGAGACUAGGAGUCUAAGCAAACCGCGACUCGGCUCCGUUCUCUUUCCAUAGGGCGGCUGCCCGGGUGGAGACGCAGGGGGCGCUGGCCCAGACCUUGAUGCCUCUGCGCACCGGGCGCAGCAACCAGCUCCCUGGCCCAGAAAGCUCGGCCACCGAGCAGUCCUGGGUUCCCAGGGCUGUCCGCCCAGCGUGCUGAGCGCGAGGGACCUCUCUGCUGUGGCGGCCGC
rnacentral:lncRNA from 1 species